rnacentral:rRNA from 1 species
UACGGAGGGUGCGAACGUUAAUCGGAAUCACUGGGCGUAAAGCGCGCGUAGGCGGUCUGUUAAGUGGGAUGUGAAAUCCCCGGGCUUAACCUGGGAAUUGCAUUUCAAACUGGCCGACUAGAGUACGGUAGAGGGAGGUAGAAUUUCCUGUGUAGCGGUGAAAUGCGUAGAUAUAGGAAGGAAUACCAGUGGCGAAGGCGGCCACCUGGACGGAUACUGACGCUGAGACGCGAAAGCGUGGGUAGCAAACAGG